rnacentral:lncRNA from 1 species
UGUUUGAGUUGGUGAAAUUUCUGAAAAACACUUGUCUUGAUCAUGUUCAAAAUGAUUGCAUCUAAACCAAAAUAGUUGUAUCUCUACUUGCUUGAAAUAGUCUAAUACUGUGUGUAAAUGAAAGAGAUGACAUAACAGGUUAUGGGGGAGUCGCCUUCUGGUGCUCAGAUUGUUGUCUGAUAAGUCUCACACCCAGGGGGAGAAGAGUCGUUUGGGUGGUGGUUCAUUCCUGUGGGAUGUAAUAUUCAUACAAUUCUUUUACGUAUCAUGACUGUUAGUGACAGGAAUGUUUGAGUGAUUUGUGUGCAGGAUCGUUAUCGUUUAUGAUGAUACUCAUGCAGACAAAAAGGGGGAGAUUGUUAAACCAAGUAUUGAUGAAACGCAAGAGUGAUGAAGCCGGUACGAGAUGAAGACAAACCACGAGAUUACUAAACCGGGAUGAGACUUGGGAAACACAAGAUUGAGAAUCGAAGAAGUUGCAAGUCCAUGAGGAAAAUAAGGAAAGAAG